rnacentral:ncRNA from 2 species
AGUGAGGAUAGAGGCGCAAAGACCAAUAGUACACAAUCUUAGGAUGAUGAGAUCCAGUGACGAUUGUAGAAAGGGGAAUUUGCCGAAGUGAAAAGAACCUCAUUGUUCUUAAAACUGGGUCUGCUAUUGAAUAAAUGCAGAACUGUCAUAUAGGAAACUAUAUGGAGGGCUAUCUCACGC